UGUGCAAGGUCAGUAGCAAUAUGGUCAUUGAUGCAACAAACCAGAGGAACAAGUUCGGGUUCAUCAAUCAUAGCUGUGAACCAAACACGGAGAUGCAGAAAUGGACUGUAGAUGGAUAAACCAGAGUUGCAAUUUUUGCUCUUCGUGAUAUAGAGAGAUGGGAGGAGCUGACCUAUGACUAUAAAUUUGUCCAGUUUGGAGCAGAUCAAGAUUGUCAUUGUGAAUCUUGAAACUGCAGAAAAAUGGUUGGCACGUCUAAGUCAGUCAAGUCAUUUGUUCUCCGCAAUGGCAACUCAGGAAGUUCACAAGAUCAGCACGAUAUGAAGAAAAGAAAGACAUGUCAGAUAAUUGUAUCGGUGAGAUCAUCUGUUUACGGGAUCGACGGGACAAAAUGUAUGACUUCACAACUUCAAAUCUGGUUGAUGACGUUAGAUGUCCUUUUGUGCCUUUCAGGUAAAUUUAUUAAAGAAGUGAUGUGCAACCAAACUAUUUUAAAUCAUUUGAGCUCUCUUCCCCAUUGGUUAUACUAUGAGGUGAGCAAAGAUUAAACCGAACCAUAAGAGUGAGCUUGUCUGCUACUAGCGUUCUGUUACUAUGAAAAAGUUGUGAGUGAUGACUUGUGUUCUUUAGAGAUUUUUAAUUUAAGUGCGUAAAAUGAACGCACGGGACGUGCCGAGGCACUCAAACAAUACUAGUGCGCAUAGGACUGCCUCAAGAGGUACGCCUGGGGAUGGUGUGUGGGUGGCAGGGGGGAGGAGGGGAGUUGGCGUCCUUAAUUUCUCAAGCAAGUGGAGGUCCAGUGGCAUGAGAGCCAGAUUGUUAAAGGUCCAAGUCUGUGUAGGUCCUUAGUUAUCUUUCUGGCCAGGAGAAGGAAGAGGUGUUGCUUGACUGGAAUGAGAUUGCAGAGAAAUUUGGUAUGUCAUUUGUUACAUUAAGUAGUCUAGUGUGAUCACCACAUUCACACAAAAUAUACAUAUGUGAGGUUCAAUUGUAUAGUUUAGGCUUGCUCUACUUUAUGCAAGGACACUUUUUCUGUUGUAGUUAUAUUAUCGCGCCUUUCAUUUCUAACCACUAACAUGUAAUUGUCGCUCUCGCUAAACUAAUCCUACUCAUAGAAACACGUUAACAAAUACGAUAGCAUGAUUUGUGCGCACAAUCCCGCCUCAAGAGGCGCCACCAGGUGGUGCCCCAACCACUAGUUUAAAACAAUGCUUGCGAGUUUUAAAAGAAGGUAAACAUUUUGCCAAAAAAAAAUCGAAUUUGUAAAAAUAUUUGUCAAUUCAAAACUGUUCAUGAUUAUAGAAAGUUUCACGAAAUUUAAAAAUGUUCAUGAUUUCAAAACAUGUUCAAAGUUCAAAAUAUGUUCACGGCUUUCCAAAAUUGUUCACGAUUGGAGAAAAUAUAUUCACAAAUUCGAAAUAUGGUCCCAAUGAGAAAAAGAAAAGGCAAAAACAUAAAAAGGAAAGAAGAAUAAUAAGAACAGAGAGAAAAAAAUAGAUAUAAAAAACAUAACCGAAAACAAAACAAAAAGAAAAUAUUAAAAAAUUAAGUAAAACGGAAAAGGAAACAUAGGAAAAACAAAAAUAAAAUCAGUGGUGAAGCAGUUCGAAAUGGGCCGGCCCAAAUGAGAAACGUUUGAUUUAGGGUACACGCUAGGUUGCUGACGAGCAACCUACGCGCAGACUCCGUCUCGCUUACAGCAAGCCAUAGGGUAUCAUCGCUCAAGGC